AACCAAACAAACCCUCUGAUAGCAAAUUCAAUCACCGCAACUACCGGCCAAUCACAUUUUUUUUGCUAAAUCGAUACGCAAUCGAUUCCUACACGCAAUCUCUGAUCCAAAACAGCGGCACCCUAUACCAUACUCUCCAAUUCAUAACACAAACCGCAAACCAUUUCCUUUCCAUUUCAUAUCACAAAACCGCGAUACCAUCCCACUCCAUCUUCAUUCCUAUAUCACAAAACACCUUCGCACUCCACCCUCUUGCACACCCAACCCCCUUAACCGCGCCUAUUGCUUCACUUCAACCUCACACAACCAGUUCCAUUUCCUCACACCGUGAGCAUUGACCAAGAGUUAGAGAGGGAGGGCUUCACCUCGUGAUCAUCGACGAGAGAGAGAGAGUGAACUGCACCUUGCAGCCAAGAGGAAAGAAAGAAAAAUCGCGAGCUGAAUCUUCUCUGGUCUGUCCGUGAGCUUGAGGGAAGAAAGGAGAGAGCAAGUGGAAGUCGUGGGAGCUACUGAUCGUCACCACCUUCAUCAGUCCCAGCUGCAACUAUUGCAACCAGAACCAGCACUUCAAGCCUUGCGCGCGUGCCGAGUGGAAGAAAAAAAUUCAGCUCUGUCGUGUGAGUGAGUUGCACUGUGAGGGUAUAGCGAGGACGUGGAAUUUUGAAUCCCAGCUUGAACUCUGAACUUCACUUUUGGUUCUGGAAACUGAAAGCUGGAUGCUUAUUUAUGUUUUCUUUUUGGGAUUGUAUUUGAACACUAAUACUUAUUCUGUGGGCUGUAAUGUGUUAUUGGGAUAAGGUAUUUUCCUUUUUGGAUUGCCACUUGAAGUUGGAAAAUGUGUAAACCCUAAUUCGAUUA